UUCCUNGAAUUUCAUUUAGAAAUAUUUUUAAACAUGUAAAUUGUUGUGGAAGUUUUUAAGUGUUAUAUUUAUUUCACAAACCUGUUCCCUGAAUCACAGCAGCUCCUUUAAACUCGUCCAAAAUGGAGGUUUUUAAAAAAAUCUUUGUMCCCUUCAAGUUACAGUGACUCUUUCUUUUAACAAAUUUUAUUAAUUUAUUAAAAUUGUAAUAUUCAAAGUUAACAUUUUUAACAGCUUUAUGCUUGAUCUGCAAAAUAUUCAYUCAAAUCAAAGUUUUAAUAAUUUCAGCUGAUGAUAUAAUGUAUUUGUUGGAUGACCAUUAAACUUUCUACUGAUAAUUCUAUUGGCUGUUUUUUGCAAAAUAAAACUAGGAUAUCUUCACUAAACACACUUAUAUGUUUUUCCUCAAACUUCAAUACAGUAAAUUAAAUGUGGAAUAUAGCGGAAAUGUGAAUAUCUUCUCAACAAGAGACAGUCAAACUACUGUUCCUGUAACUCAUCUGAUACUUCUCCCUUAGGCCUUUGAACAAAGACUAGACUUCCUGUCGCCAGUUAAUUUGUUUAUCACCUCUUUCAGAAUAAGACUGGAAUAAACAUUGUUUAACAUCAAAGGGCCCCUGAUGUUAAACAAGACGAGACAAAACAUCAAAAGACUCCCAUCAGAUUUAUCUGUCAUGUGACCACCGCAGAAAGUCUUAACCAAUGAGAAGUUCCAUUGUGAAUUUCAUUGUUCUGCCAUGUAGUGAGUUCUGAAGAAGCAUUUGAGGAGAGAGCAGUUUUUCCAGCUCCAGCUUUCCCCCACCCUGGGGCGAGGCUGUUCUUUUCCAACUUUUUCUACUUUUUAUAGUUUAAUCUUAAGGUGCUUUCAGGAAGGAGAUUUACAUUGAUUGAAACGAUGAGGCUGAUUUAA